UACGAAGGGGGCUAGCGUUGUUCGGAAUUACUGGGCGUAAAGCGCACGUAGGCGGAAUGUUAAGUCAGGGGUGAAAUCCCGGGGCUCAACCCCGGAACUGCCUUUGAUACUGGCAUUCUCGAGUCCGGAAGAGGUGAGUGGAAUUCCGAGUGUAGAGGUGAAAUUCGUAGAUAUUCGGAGGAACACCGAUGGCGAAGGCAGCCCCCUGGGCUAACACUGACGCUCAUGCACGAAAGCGUGGGGAGCAAACAGG
rnacentral:rRNA from 1 species